UACGUAGGGUGCGAGCGUUAAUCGGAAUUACUGGGCGUAAAGCGUGCGCAGGCGGCUCUCUAAGUCAGAUGUGAAAGCCCCGGGCUUAACCUGGGAAUUGCGUUUGAAACUGGCGGGCUGGAGUGUGGCAGAGGGAGGUGGAAUUCCACGUGUAGCAGUGAAAUGCGUAGAGAUGUGGAGGAACACCGAUGGCGAAGGCAGCCUCCUGGGCCAACACUGACGCUCAUGCACGAAAGCGUGGGGAGCAAACAGG
rnacentral:rRNA from 1 species